rnacentral:rRNA from 1 species
AUCCUGGCUCAGGAUUAACGCUGGCGGCGUGCCUAACACAUGCAAGUCGAACGGACUUUUCAUGAAGCCUAGCGAUUGAAAAGUUAGUGGCGGACUGGUGAGUAACGCGUGGGUAACCUGCCUUGUACUGGGGGACAACAGUUGGAAACGACUGCUAAUACCGCAUAAGCGCACAGCUUCGCAUGAAGCAGUGUGAAAAACUCCGGUGGUACAAGAUGGACCCGCGUCUGAUUAGCCGGUUGGUGAGGG